AGACAAAGCCAUAUAUGAUUGAAGGUUAUCAGUACUGUGCUUUUGGAGGAUUCAGAAGAAGUUAUAUCUGAUUGGGAGAUUGAAAAGGAUUGGCCUGAAGGAGAGGUGGUUUUUGAACUGCAUCUUAAAGGAUGAGGAAACUGAGGCUGAGAGGGUAGAGAACUUUGCCUGAGGUCACUCAGCAGGGACCCACCCAUCACAGUAAAUGCCAGCACUGCUGAUGCCAAAACAAUGUUAUUUGUAGGCCCUCGGAAUUUGUGACCUGAAGGAAGAAGAGCAGGGCCGUGGGAAGUAUGUAACCAGUGUCAUGCCCCUGGUCCCAAGGAAGCAGUGGCUUGGUAAAGAGGGGACCCCCGUCAAUAACUCCCUGUAAUUACUGGGCACCCACUCUGAGCUCCUCAGUGGAAUCCUAAGGUUAAUAAGACUGUCUCUAGCCACUGGGGCUCCCAGCCUGGAGUGAGGUAAGAGGAGUGGAGCCGGCUGGGGAGGGAGACGAACACAUACACAGAAGAUUCAGACACACUUGCAAUGUAUUGCUGGGGAUUCUCCAGCAUUGGCAUGAUGGAGAGGGUGGAGAAUCAUUUGACCGCCUCCGCCUAGGAUUGCAGAGUUCAGCUGGCCAUCAUCCACCAGCCGGGGGACUGUGCACAUCAGUUAACCUCUCCUCUCAGGCCUUGAAAAGCACCAGGCUUAGUACACGUUUGUUAAAUGAAUGCACUGCAGUUUUUUUGCUUGUUAAAGGCAGGUAAUAAUAAUGAUAUUGCUGACUAAGGGCUCCCAUCCACUCCCAGUGAGCCCGGUGCCCCCCCGGGCCUCCUCAGUGAGCUGAGGAGGCUCAGCAGUGCCUGCACGUCCCCUCGCCACAAUGUCAUGUGCCACCUCUUCAAAGGAGGGAUGUACCAGCUAGUGGACGUGACCUUGACUGCAAAGGGCGGCACGCAGCUGAUGUAAUGGUCGCUUAAGUGUUCACAAAUGCCUGAACACCCUGUCCUACCUGGUCCUACCUGGAUGCUGGCCUCAGUAAGCUCCUGGGCUCAUUGAAGAUGAACCUAGCAGUAGUAUUUACACCACUUGUUGUGUGCCCACUGUGGGCCCGGCGCCAUGCCGAGUGCUCUAUGGAUGUGAGAGAAACGGAGGCCCAGAAAGCAGAAAUGAUGUGUUAAGAUCACUCAUCAAGCUGAUGGUACAGAGAUGAGAACACUGAAGCAGUUUUUUCUAAAGAUAGCUGCCUGGCACAGUGGCUCACAUCUGUAGUCCCAGCAUUUGGGGAGGCCAAGGCAGGUGGAUCACUUGAGGCCAGGAAUUCAAGACCAGCAUGGCCAACAUGUGCUGGGAGAGAAAAGCAUACGACAUAGACAGGGAGGUCAAGCUCCACCACGCAGAUGAGGUGCAGGCCACCAGUCUUCCUCUGCCACAUCUCUUUCUGAAAAGGACUUCACAUUCACCCUUGCAAUCCAUGUGGGGACACUGUUGGAUAGGAGGCGUGGUCCCAGCGUGGUCUCCCUGUCUGGGCCUCUGCCUAUGCCAAAUGUUUGCCUUACGCUGCACACUCAAGAGGUUCCAUGUAUACAGAUGGGAAUUCCAGAGCUACAGAAAAGGCAGCAAGCACCAUGAUUUAAGCUAACCAGUGUGGAUUCACACCUUCCUCUCUCUCUAUCAGUGGCAGAACUACCAGCUAGAGUAAGAAGUGGUUGAUCCAGGACCUAAACAUUCUGGAAACUCUUGCCCACUUCUGGGAGAAAUGACCCAAUCCAUAGUACUAAGCACACCUUAACUUUCGUAGGACGCAGGCAAGUUGUCAUACCGUGUGCCUAAAUAUAGAAAAAUGAUCCACUGGACUAAUAAAGUGUUAAAUAAAA
rnacentral:lncRNA from 1 species